AGCGUACACGGUGGAUGCCCUGGCAGUCAGAGGCGAUGAAGGACGUGCUAAUCUGCGAAAAGCGUCGGUAAGGUGAUAUGAACCGUUACAGCCGGCGAUGUCCGAAUGGGGAAACCCAGUGCAAUUCGUUGCACUAUCGUUAACUGAAUACAUAGGUUAACGAGGCGAACCGGGGGAACUGAAACAUCUAAGUACCCCGAGGAAAAGAAAUCAACCGAGAUUCCCCCAGUAGCGGCGAGCGAACGGGGAGCAGCCCGGAGUCUGAAUCAGCUUGUGUGUUAGUGGAAGCGUCUGGAAAGUCGCAGGGUACAGGGUGAUACUCCCGUACACUAAAACACACAGGCUGUGAACUCGAAGAGUAGGGCGGGACACGUGGUAUCCUGUCUGAAUAUGGGGGGACCAUCCUCCAAGGCUAAAUACUCCUGACUGACCGAUAGUGAACCAGUACCGUGAGGGAAAGGCGAAAAGAACCCCGGCGAGGGGAGUGAAAAAGAACCUGAAACCGUGUACGUACAAGCAGUAGGAGCCCACUAGUUGGGUGACUGCGUACCUUUUGUAUAAUGGGUCAGCGACUUAUAUUCUGUAGCAAGGUUAACCGAAUAGGGGAGCCGCAGGGAAACCGAGUCUUAACUGGGCGUUAAGUUGCAGGGUAUAGACCCGAAACCCGGUGAUCUAGCCAUGGGCAGGUUGAAGGUUGGGUAACACUAACUGGAGGACCGAACCGACUAAUGUUGAAAAAUUAGCGGAUGACUUGUGGCUGGGGGUGAAAGGCCAAUCAAACCGGGAGAUAGCUGGUUCUCCCCGAAAGCUAUUUAGGUAGCGCCUCGUGAACUCAUCUUCGGGGGUAGAGCACUGUUUCGGCUAGGGGGUCAUCCCGACUUACCAACCCGAUGCAAACUACGAAUACCGAAGAAUGUUAUCACGGGAGACACACGGCGGGUGCUAACGUCCGUCGUGAAGAGGGAAACAACCCAGACCGCCAGCUAAGGUCCCAAAGUCAUGGUUAAGUGGGAAACGAUGUGGGAAGGCCCAGACAGCCAGGAUGUUGGCUUAGAAGCAGCCAUCAUUUAAAGAAAGCGUAAUAGCUCACUGGUCGAGUCGGCCUGCGCGGAAGAUGUAACGGGGCUAAACCAUGCACCGAAGCUGCGGCAGCGACGCUUAUGCGUUGUUGGGUAGGGGAGCGUUCUGUAAGCUGUUGAAGGUGGCCUGUGAGGGUUGCUGGAGGUAUCAGAAGUGCGAAUGCUGACAUAAGUAACGAUAAUGCGGGUGAAAAACCCGCACGCCGGAAGACCAAGGGUUCCUGUCCAACGUUAAUCGGGGCAGGGUGAGUCGACCCCUAAGGCGAGGCCGAAAGGCGUAGUCGAUGGGAAACAGGUUAAUAUUCCUGUACUUGGUGUUACUGCGAAGGGGGGACGGAGAAGGCUAUGUUGGCCGGGCGACGGUUGUCCCGGUUUAAGCAUGUAGGCGGAUGUUCCAGGUAAAUCCGGAACGUCACUAACGCUGAGGUGUGAUGACGAGGCACUACGGUGCUGAAGUGACAAAUGCCCUGCUUCCAGGAAAAGCCUCUAAGCAUCAGGUAACAUCAAAUCGUACCCCAAACCGACACAGGUGGUCAGGUAGAGAAUACCAAGGCGCUUGAGAGAACUCGGGUGAAGGAACUAGGCAAAAUGGUGCCGUAACUUCGGGAGAAGGCACGCUGAUGGUAAGUGAAGUGACUUGCUCAUGGAGCUGAAAUCAGUCGAAGAUACCAGCUGGCUGCAACUGUUUAUUAAAAACACAGCACUGUGCAAACACGAAAGUGGACGUAUACGGUGUGACGCCUGCCCGGUGCCGGAAGGUUAAUUGAUGGGGUUAUCCUCGCGGAGAAGCUCUUGAUCGAAGCCCCGGUAAACGGCGGCCGUAACUAUAACGGUCCUAAGGUAGCGAAAUUCCUUGUCGGGUAAGUUCCGACCUGCACGAAUGGCGUAAUGAUGGCCAGGCUGUCUCCACCCGAGACUCAGUGAAAUUGAACUCGCUGUGAAGAUGCAGUGUACCCGCGGCAAGACGGAAAGACCCCGUGAACCUUUACUAUAGCUUGACACUGAACACUGGUCCUUGAUGUGUAGGAUAGGUGGGAGGCUUUGAAGUGUGGACGCCAGUCUGCAUGGAGCCAUCCUUGAAAUACCACCCUUUAAUGGCUGGUGUUCUAACGUGGGCCCGUGAUCCGGGUUGCGGACAGUGUCUGGUGGGUAGUUUGACUGGGGCGGUCUCCUCCUAAAGAGUAACGGAGGAGCACGAAGGUCAGCUAAUCCUGGUCGGACAUCAGGAGGUUAGUGCAAUGGCAUAAGCUGGCUUGACUGCGAGCGUGACGGCGCGAGCAGGUGCGAAAGCAGGUCAUAGUGAUCCGGUGGUUCUGAAUGGAAGGGCCAUCGCUCAACGGAUAAAAGGUACUCCGGGGAUAACAGGCUGAUACCGCCCAAGAGUUCAUAUCGACGGCGGUGUUUGGCACCUCGAUGUCGGCUCAUCACAUCCUGGGGCUGAAGUAGGUCCCAAGGGUAUGGCUGUUCGCCAUUUAAAGUGGUACGCGAGCUGGGUUUAGAACGUCGUGAGACAGUUCGGUCCCUAUCUGCCGUGGGCGCUGGAGAAUUGAGGGGGGCUGCUCCUAGUACGAGAGGACCGGAGUGGACGCAUCACUGGUGUUCGGGUUGUCAUGCCAAUGGCAUUGCCCGGUAGCUAAAUGCGGAA
rnacentral:rRNA from 1 species